rnacentral:rRNA from 1 species
CAGCAGCCGCGGUAAUACGUAGGUGGCAAGCGGUGUCCGGAAUUAUUGGGCGUAAAGGGCUCGCAGGCGGUUUCUUAAGUCUGAUGUGAAAGCCCCCGGCUCAACCGGGGAGGGUCAUUGGAAACUGGGAAACUUGAGUGCAGAAGAGGAGAGUGGAAUUCCACGUGUAGCGGUGAAAUGCGUAGAGAUGUGGAGGAACACCAGUGGCGAAGGCGACUCUCUGGUCUGUAACUGACGCUGAGGAGCGAAAGCGUGGGGAGCGAACAGGAUUAGAUACCCCCGUAGUCCCUGUCUCUUAUAA